UACGGGGGGGGCAAGCGUUGUUCGGAAUUACUGGGCGUAAAGGGCGCGUAGGCGGUGCUCUAAGUCGGAUGUGAAAACUCUGGGCUCAACCCAGAGCCUGCAUCCGAAACUGGAGUGCUAGAGUUCUGGAGGGGGUAGCGGAAUUCCUGGUGUAGCGGUGAAAUGCGUAGAUAUCUGGAGGAACACCGGUGGCGAAGGCGGCAUCCUGGACCAAUAUUGACGCUGAGGAGCGAAAGCCAGGGGAGCAAACGGG
rnacentral:rRNA from 1 species